AAUACAAUACGAAGGGCUCACCUCACCAUUUUUACGCUCUCCACUCUCUUCUCCAACAUUGCUCGUCUUCAUCUUCUUCACUAAACCUUUUUCCGAUUCCAUUUCAAUAAUAAUCAUUGUCAGUACACUCAAGUUGCUCUUUCAUUCAAUGCUUUAAAAAUUCACAGCCCCAAAUUGCCUGAAAUUUCUAGAUUUUCUAGGGUUUUUCGUUAUCAUUUCUCUUCUGCAAAACCCUAGACCAAACUUCCCUUUUCUGCAAGCAAGCAAGACCCUUUUGAUUGUUUACGAUGAGGAUGCUCCAGAGGUAUCGUUCUCGUUGGGAUGAGUCUGCAACGUUGAGGAGAGACGUAUAAUUCACCUAAUUGGGUUUUUUUGAGUACUCAUUUGGUAUUGAGCAACUGAACUCUAUUUGACAUGGACAAUGAAGUGAUUGAAUUUGAUAUUGGGUUGGGAGCAGGGGAAGGAGGAAGUGGCAGAGAAGGAGAUGACGAUGGAUUGGAUAUUGAACACCAUGUUGAUGAUGAGGAAAUGGCUGACAGCCCUCCUUUUACUAGUGGUGGCAGUGGUGGUGGUUUUGGUGGCAGUGGUGAGAUAUACCUUCCUGAGGGAGACUUAUUGGACCUUGAACCUUCUGAGGGGAUGGAAUUUGAGUCUGAAGAAGCUGCCAAGGCCUUUUAUAACUCUUAUGCUCGCCGAGUUGGGUUCAGUACCCGUGUGAGCUCGUCUCGCAGGUCUAGGCGUGAUGGGGCAAUUAUACAGAGGCAAUUUGUCUGUGCCAAAGAAGGGUUUAGAAAUUUGAAUGAGAAGCGUACAAAAGAUAGGGAAAUCAAGCGGCCACGAACUAUCACCAGAGUUGGAUGCAAAGCAUCAUUGUCUGUGAAGAUGCAAGAUUCUGGAAAAUGGGUUGUGUCUGGUUUUGUUAGAGAACAUAAUCAUGAGUUGGUUCAACCUGAUCUAGUGCAUUGUCUCCGUUCUCACCGUCAAAUCUCUGGCCCUGCUAAGACUUUGAUUGAUACCUUGCAGGCAGCUGGGAUGGGUCCUCGUAGAAUUAUGUCAGCUCUUAUAAAAGAAUAUGGUGGAAUAAGUAAGGUUGGAUUUACAGAGGUGGAUUGUAGGAAUUACAUGAGGAAUAAUCGCCAGAGGAGCUUAGAAGGGGAUAUUCAAUUGCUCCUAGAUUAUUUGAGGCAGAUGCAUGCUGAUAACUCUAAUUUCUUUUAUGCUGUACAGGGUGAAGAGGAUCAGUCAUCCGGCAAUGUAUUUUGGGCUGAUCCAAAGGCAAGGAUGAACUAUAAUUAUUUUGGUGAUACUGUAACUUUUGAUACAACCUAUAGGUCAAACAGGUAUCGAUUGCCCUUCGCACCCUUCACUGGAGUAAAUCAUCAUGGACAGCCUGUGUUGUUUGGUUGUGCUUUUUUGAUAAAUGAAUCUGAAUCAUCGUUCUUAUGGUUGUUUAACACUUGGCUUACAGCAAUGUCUGGUCGCCCUCCAUUUUCAAUUACCACAGAUCAUGAUGCAGUUAUACGAUCAGCCAUAAUGCAAGUAUUUCCGGAAACCCGUCAUCGUUUCUGUAAAUGGCACAUAUUCAAGAAAUGUCAGGAGAAGUUGUCUCACGUGUUUCUUAAACAUCCAACUUUUGAAGCAGACUUUCACAAAUGUGUCAACUUGACUGAGUCAAUUGAGGAAUUUGAGUCUUGUUGGUUGUCUCUUGUUGAUAGAUACGAACUCAGGGAUCAUGAGUGGCUUCAAACAAUAUAUUCUGCUCGCAGGCAGUGGGUCCCAGUGUAUUUGCGGGAUACUUUUUUUGCAGAAAUGUCCAUAACGCAGAGAAGUGAUAGUAUGAACUCAUAUUUUGAUGGAUACAUAAAUGCUUCAACCAAUCUAAAUCAGUUUUUCAAGCUGUAUGAGAAAGCUCUUGAAAGCCGUAAUGAGAAGGAGGUGAAAGCAGACUAUGAUACUAUGAACACUUCUCCUGUCCUUAAGACUCCAUCUCCAAUGGAGAAGCAAGUAUCAGAGCUUUAUACCAGAAAAUUAUUUGCGAGGUUUCAAGAGGAGCUAGUUGGGACCUUAACUUUCAUGGCAUCCAAGGCUGAGGAUGAUGGGGAGGUCAUCACGUAUCAAGUAUCAAAAUAUGGGGAGGAUCAUAAAGCAUAUUAUGUUAAGUUCAAUGUUUUGGAGAUGAAAGCAAAUUGUAGUUGCCAGAUGUUCGAGUUUUCAGGUCUUCUUUGCAGACAUAUUUUGGCAGUUUUUAGAGUCACCAACGUGCUAACUCUCCCAGCACAUUACAUAUUGAAACGAUGGACAAGGAAUGCCAAAAGCAGUGUCAUAUUAGAAGAACAUUGUAGUGAUUUAUAUACCAAUUAUCUGGAGUCUCACACUGUUCGAUAUAAUACUCUACGUCACGAGGCCUUUAAAUUUGUAGAUGAAGGAGCAAAGUCCUCAGAAACAUAUGAAGCUGCCUUGAUUGCUCUGCAAAAAGCUGCAGAAAAGGUUGAUCAUGCAAUAAAGAAUUCCAGCAAAUCUGCCAUGGUGAAUGGACGCUUCAGAGGGAAUUCCACUGUAGAUGCCAGUCGUGUAAAUCAUACUAGCGGGGAUAGGGAAGGGAGCUCAGGCCAACAUAUGUCAGAGGAUGAUAUGGACAAGAGAAUUAGAGAACUUACAAAUGAGUUGGAGAAUGCAAAUAGGAAGUGUGAGGUUUAUCGAGCUAAUCUGCUUUCAGUUUUGAAAGAUAUCGAGGAUCAUAAGCUACAGUUGUCAAUUAAAGUGCAAAACAUUAAGAUUAGCAUGAAAGAUGGUCUUUAAAGGUGCUACAAUGCUAUACUUGUACUUCCGUUUGUUUUAUUUUAUUUUAUUAUCUCAAGUCAAUGUACUUUUACAGUAGUCUUUGAAUUAAAUUGUUCCUUAUGAGUGGUGUAGGGAUCGAAAGUCUGCAAAGAUAUUUUUUUCUUGCACUUUGUAGUUUAAUAUCGCUAGUGACUUGAUGUGUACCUUAUAGUUUAGUUUAUGUUUUCCUGGCUCAAAUUCUAUGAGAUGGUUAGCCUUGUCUCUGACAUGAUGAAAGGCAUUUCUCAGUAACCAUCUUGUAAGAACAAUUGGCAAGUAAACUCUUGUUUCUGCAGAGAAUCAAGGGAGGUUUGCACUAGACUGUAGACCAUGGAUUUUGGUCACAAAUUUGGCACAUGGGAGGCUUCCAUGCGUUUUUAAGUUGUUUUCAGAUGGAUUCAAACAGUUCACAUGAGGAAAACAUGUUUGAAUGGAUGGUUGCUAACGAAGGAAGGCAGGCAGGUGUGAAAGUGAGCAUGGUGAGUUCUAGUUGGAUAUGGAAGAUUUUGUCAUUUGGACUUCUUUUCAAGUUAUUUCCACAAAGCUACUGAUUCAUUUUAACUUUCAAUGUAUUUCUUGAUUUGCCUGUAAAAUAAGGUAGCGUUCUUUUAACUAAUGACAACUCUCUGAUCGAUUUAGGAGGUUAGUUUUUACUUCAAUAAAAUCUGUUACUGUAAUUUGUUUCA